CCUACGGGGGGCAGCAGUGGGGAAUAUUGGGCAAUGGGCGCAAGCCUGACCCAGCAACGCCGCGUGAAGGAAGAAGGCUUUCGGGUUGUAAACUUCUUUUGACAGGGAAGAGCAGAAGACGGUACCUGUCGAAUAAGCCACGGCUAACUACGUGCCAGCAGCCGCGGUAAUACGUAGGUGGCAAGCGUUGUCCGGAUUUACUGGGUGUAAAGGGCGUGUAGCCGGGCUGACAAGUCAGAUGUGAAAUCCGGGGGCUCAACCCCCGAACUGCAUUUGAAACUGUUGGUCUUGAGUAUCGGAGAGGC
rnacentral:rRNA from 1 species